GACGAACGCUGGCGGCGUGCUUAACACAUGCGAGUCGAACGGAAAGGCCCUGCUUUUGUGGGGUGCUCGAGUGGCGAACGGGUGAGUAACACGUGAGUAACCUGCCCUUGACUUUGGGAUAACUUCAGGAAACUGGGGCUAAUACCGGAUAGGAGCUCCUGCUGCAUGGGGGGGGUUGGAAAGUUUCGGCGGUUGGGGAUGGACUCGCGGCUUAUCAGCUUGUUGGUGGGGUAGUGGCUUACCAAGGCUUUGACGGGUAGCCGGCCUGGGAGGGUGACCGGCCACAUUGGGACUGCGAUACGGCCCAGACUCCUACGGGAGGCAGCAGUGGGGAAUAUUGCACAAUGGGCGGGAGCCUGAUGCAGCAACGCCGCGUGCGGGAUGACGGCCUUCGGGUUGUAAACCGCUUUCGCCUGUGACGAAGCGUGAGUGACGGUAAUGGGUAAAGAAGCACCGGCUAACUACGUG
rnacentral:rRNA from 1 species